GGUGCAAACACAAGAUGUGCCCUCUUUUCAGACACACACUAACCAUGAUCACAGCUGUUAUCUGCUUUUCCAUGUGCAGGAUACUACUAUCUGAACACUGUGAGAAGCAAGGCUUGAGGAACCAUAUACAAUGCAGAAUAUGAGGACAUGAAAACUCCUCAAAUUCCAUCUCCCUGAAGACAUUGAAGGAAGUGCUGAUCAUACUGAAUCAAUUUGAAAAAACUAUGAAAAUGUCUAUAUUUCACUGUGAUGAAAAUACAUUUCAGUGAUGAUGUUCUCCGUUCUGAUUCUUGCAUUACUGGUGGGAGGCUGUGGAAAAGGAAGAACAUCUGACUCACACAAUUUGAAGCCGUGGCCAAACCAUUCUGCAAGAAGGAGGUAGAAUGUCCUGGGAAAAUUGAAAACUAUUUGUUGGAAACAAGAAAUGCCAACUGUGUUCAAUGGUUCUGUGUGAAUCUCUGAAUUUGGUGUACUGCUCUAAACAUGUAUUCACCUACACACACUUAAAAUUAAUGUGAGAGAAACCAACACAAGUAACAACUGGAUUAAUAAAAACAAUUAAAAUAAAUGCACACUUA